UACGUAGGGUCCGAGCGUUGUCCGGAGUUACUGGGCGUAAAGCGCGCGCAGGCGGCGGUGUUGGCCCGGCGUGAAAGCCCCCGGCUCAACCGGGGAGAGUCGUCGGGGACCGCACCGCUUGAGGGCGGUAGGGGCUGGUGGAAUUCCAGGUGUAGCGGUGAAAUGCGUAGAUAUCUGGAGGAACACCGGUGGCGAAGGCGGCAUUCUGGACCGAUAUUGACGCUGAACGGCGAAAGCUAGGGGAGCAAACGGG
rnacentral:rRNA from 1 species